ensembl:snRNA RNU1-42P RNA, U1 small nuclear 42, pseudogene
AUACUUACCUGGCAGGGGAGAUACCAUGAUCCUGAAGGUGGUUUUCCUAGGGCGAGGCUCAUCCAUUGCACUCCGGAUGUGCCGACUCGCGAUUUCCCCAAAUGUGGGAAACUCGACUGCGUAAUUUGUGGUAGCGGUGGACUGCGUUUGCGCUCUAGUA